rnacentral:misc_RNA from 1 species
CGCCUAUAUCUCAGAGCUCACAAUCCACAAAAAUACACAAAACAAGAGGCAACCAUAUAAACCAUACCACUAGAGGUCAACCUUUUUCCUGCAUUUCCGAGUCUCAUGAAUUGCCCCUGUGGUAAUAUUAACUGUGAAAGUGCAAUUCAUCUUCACAGUAACGUGCUUCUUAAUAAUAUUCAGCAGUUUCAUCCUCCCUGGAAUUUUUGAGUAGCUAUCCAUGGUGAGCAGUCCCGUACCCAUUUCAGUACUUAGAUUAGGAUUGGAAAUCAGCUUAUCAGUGAUUAUAUCAACCGUCACAUUCAUCCGCACAGUCCGCCGGGCCUUUGCGCGGCCUGGCGGGCCUCUAACCUCUCCGACGACCUCUCCAUAGUAGUAAAGAGCUGUAGUAGUAUUACUAUACCUGAAAGAUGCUAUGUUGGGAUUCUUCACUGAUACAUCAGCAAUCAAGGACAUGUUCACCCCUGGCUUUGGAAUCUUGGUGUUGUUGAUUAGCUCUAGCCGAGUCAUUGUCAUACCAUUCAAUCUAAUUGAAGGGUCCUUGACGCGAAAAAGAGUGAAAAUUAAUAUCACGAUCACGAUGACAUGAACGAGCAGCACCCCUGUGAUGCAUCCACAGCAUCUGAUGCAUUUUCUGCGACGAAGUUUUUUCGAGUGGAGAGCGGCAGUUUCUUCUUCAUCGCUGCUUAUGCGGUCUGCAGACGGGGCUAGGGGCUUCACCUGCUCGUGCUCCACCAUGGCCGGAGAUUGGAAAGAAGGGAAAUGAUGAUUAUCUAAGGCUGUGGAGGUACUAGCGGUAGUGCGCU